GGCCCAAUGGUCUAGUCGUAUGAUACGCGCUUCGGGAGUGAUCCCACGUAAUCGGAUUACGUAAAUGUGCGUGGCCCCGGGUUCAAUUCCCGGUUGGGCCC